ACCUUCUUUAUAAAGUUCUGUGCUAAAAUUGACUAAAACCAGGUUUUAUCUUGGUUUUGUUGAUGAUGCUAGCAGAGAAUAAAAGGGAAGAAAAUUAUAUGCACUGUAUUGGAAAUGAGGAGAGGUCGGGCCUCUUUCUUAAUGUCCAUUGACCUUCUGCUCAAAAUCCAGUGCCACAUUG